AGGUGUGAUCAUUCCAGCACUAAUUUAAAGGAUCCUAUCAGUACUAUGCAGUUAAGCGUGCUUGUGCGAGAGUAUUACUCGGAUGGAUGACCUCCUGGGAAGUCUUUGUGUUGCACCUU
rnacentral:rRNA from 1 species